rnacentral:lncRNA from 10 species
UGAAGUGGCAAAUGAUUCAAGGCGAGGCAAGAGGUGCUUCAGAUGCUGUCUUUUGCAGUCCUCCGAGAGGUUAGGGAUGUGGGAGGUCCCUGGGGGCCAUCUCUUACAAGACACAGUUUCCACUAAAUUGGAUCGUAUUUGUACAUCUCUACACCUGUGCGUGAUAGUAAACUUUUGCACCCAAAUACCCCGACCCCUGAAGGAGAGUGUGAGUUAAAAGGAUCUGAAGAACGGACCCUUUGUUUAAGCCUUCUCCGCUGGUGGUAUACUUACGAGGACCAGAGGUGAGGUGUCAGCAAGGAGGCCCACAGGUGGAAAGUGCUUUGGGCCAAUGGUACACACCUGCUUUAUUGGAUAGACGCAGAGAAGUAUGCCUGGUCACAGCCAGAGCUUACUCGGUCAAGAAAUUAUGAGCUCCCCAGAA